ensembl:lncRNA
CCAAAUUACAGCCACGUGAGGUUUUUACCACAAAUGCAAUGUCUUUUGGACUCAUUGGAAAUGAUGAAUUGCCAACCAAUUAUUGUUUGUGGAGACUUCAAUGAGGACCUUAUAAGCAGAGGAAAAAAACCCAUCCAAGAACUGUUUCAGUCAAGAGGAUAUGCACAACUUAUUACUGCUGCAACCACCGAAAAACACACAUUGAUUGAUCACCUUUACAUAUCACAGCCAUACGCCUGCCUCCAAUCAGGUGUUCUGAAUACAUAUCACAGUUAUCACAACCCCAUUUAUUGUGUAAUUCACUAACACAAAAUGACUGCAAGGUUGUGAGGGAUAUGGACUUGCCAAGUGAUCUUAGUGUCUUUGCAACUGAGCACACUCUACCAGCAACACUGACAGCUCACCAGUGGGAGCUGAUAGAUAAGACUGCUCUCAUCCAUUGAAGAGCUGACCAGAAACGUGAACAGAAAGACUGCAACUGCACCUGAUGGGAUCCCUGCCAUAACAGAUGUGUUCUGUCCAGUGAAGGCAGUGGAGAAGCCCUACACUAAUCUUGAAACUGUGCCACGCUACUAGAAACCGGCUACAAGGAUGGGCAGCUGUUUUCGCAAAGUCAGCCAACCACUUGCUUCCAAAUGACCCUUAUCCAGAAGUAUCCGUGAGUGCCUCAUCAACAGAAACUAAAGUGGAGACCUACCUCUCAGAGAAAAACGCACACAUAAGAAAAGCCGACCCACUUCAGUACUGGGAAGAACAUCCUAAUCUGUUUCACUCUAUGGCUGCUGUUGCGAUCCC